rnacentral:rRNA from 1 species
CUCCUCAAGAAUUAAUUUGAGGUAUAGCCUGCUCUAUGAAUUUAUUUAAAUGGCCGCGGUAUUCUGACCGUGCAAAGGUAGCAUAAUCAUUAGUCUUUUAAUUGAAGGCUGGUAUGAAUGGCUGGACGAGAAAAUUUCUGUCUCUGUUAUAAAUUUUGAAUUUGAUUUUUAAGUGAAAAAGCUUAAAUAUUUUUGGGGGACGAUAAGACCCUAUGGAUCUUUUGGGUUGGGGCGACUGGAAGAAAAGAAUAUCUCUUCUUAAAAAUAAAUAUUAUUUAUAGAAUUAAAAAUGACCCUAAAUUUUGGUUUAGCAGAUCAAGUUACCCUAGGGAUAACAGCGUAAUCUUUUUGGAGAGUUCAUAUCGAUGAAAAGGUUUGCGACCUCGAUGUUGGAUUAAGAGAUCCUUGCGGCGCAGCAGUUGCGGAGGAAAGUCUGUUCGACUUUUAAAUUCUUACA